GGGGGUAAGGAAAGAAACUAAGGGAGGCACAGAGAGGAAAAGCCAGAGAUACUGAAGUGGCGAUAGGAAAAGGAGAGAUCAUCUACUUCUCUUCCACUACCGUUAGAUUGUACGUCUCCUAUUCCAUUUCGUCCGCGAUGACUCGUAUUGUUUUUUUUUUUCCAAAACCUACGAAGCCACCGCCUGCCAACUUAAAGAGGAGCCGGAGCGCUUCAAUCUGUCCUUCAAGGAUUUAGGAGACAUCUCUACUGUUUGUUUGUUUCUUUCUUUUUAAUGAGAUGUAAAAGAAAGCACACGCCCUCACUUUAUGAUUAUUAAGAAAUUAUUUUGAGAAAAAUUCACAUAUUGUGGAAGGAAAGAAAUGCUUGCCCUGAUGUGGAUCGCCCAGAAUAACUUCACUUUUGCCCCAAGAGGAGGUCAGCAUGCUUCUUGUGCUUAGAAAAUGUGGAGACUUCAGGCACCUUUUAAGAUUUAGAAAGUAAAAAAGAAGAAAACGCCGAUUUUUCUUACCUAAAACUCUGUAAUUAAUUCACCUGCCUUGCACAGUUAUCAACUGUCUUUACAUCCUUUCAGACCCAAGAAUGAAGGCGACAUGUGGCUGAUUAUGAAGCACAUUUUAAGAAAUCUCUCUACCCAGAGGGUAGAGAAAAAAGAGUUACAAAGAAAAAAAGAAUCAUCAUGGAAUUGUUUUUCUGCCUCCAAACUGCAUUAUUUCCAUGAGAAGAGGUGAACUCCUUAUGAUAAUUUAGUUAUACUUGCCCAUCAGUACUUACUUCCUGUGUAAGUGUCCUAAUUCCAUCUGUGGGUUGGUAUUGUGUUGCACAGCCAAAUAUUCGAUAACAAAACAAACACAGUGAGAUCAUUUUAGACUUGGAUUGUAGAAGGAAGCAGCAACUAGAAUAAUAUAAAUUGAGAUUAAUUCCCUCCAUCUCUUAAAUCAGGCCAUUGUGAGAGGAAUGACAUACUGGGUUGAAGUAAGGUUAAAAAGUCAGCCAGGUAUUUAAAUCCCUAGUUUUUAAUAAAUAUUCUAUCUUUAAUUGCAUCUUUGCAUUCGUAGCAUUUCCUCAUUCUCUUACUCCUCUCUCUUUUAAUAACAUAAAACUCAUUUUAUUCUAAAGAAGGUCAGUAUUAAGACAUGGACUGCCUAACAGAUACACAGUUGGGAAUGGGGGUGGGAAGAAGUCUUGUGUAGUGUGAAUGCAUGUUUAAUAUUAAAACAAAGUAUUGUAUAAUUUGUAAUGUUAGAAGAAAUGUACUAAACCUGACUAUAAAAGUUUCUAUUGAUUCACUGUCUGCUUUUUGUUGUUGUUGUUUUAACUUAUCUUGGCCCUUUCUCUUUGCUUUAUUAAAUAAAAGAAGAGGUCAUUGUGUAAUAAAUAGCCUAUAAAAUUGUUCUAUUUGAAGUCAGAUAGUUCAGGAUUGUUAAAAGAGAAUACUGUUUAUUUGUUUAUUACCCUUCAGAACAAAAAGAUUUUUUAAAAAGUUGAAAGAAGAACAAUUGCCACCUUCCAGCCUGAGAUCUUGUAUGUCAAGUUUCAGCCCAGAGCAAAUUUUUACAACAAGUUAUAAACCCCCUGUAACAGAGGGUUUAUUAUAAUGGAAGUGCUGACACAACCUUAACUAUAGCGUUGUAAACGGCUAUGCUAUAAUAUCCAUUAAGCAGAAAGAAAAAUAAGCUGGCUGAUCAAUAAUUUAUACAAAGAGUACCAACUGCAGACAUAAUAACUGUAAUGUUUGCAAAGCAAUCUCUCUGCUCUCCAGGCUUAACAGUAAACGCAAACUAGCAACGCUGUUAAUUUCCAACUCCUACAGAUAAGAAUACAAACAAAUUACUUAAAAUUAUAUUUUGCUCAACAUUUAGCAUGCCUCGAUGGGAUAAAAUAAAAUUUAAUUAUGAUGCAACUUGUGCGGGAUGCAAAGCUGUUUUGUUUUCCAGCACAUUUUAUUAUGAAAGGACAUUCAUUUGGAACAUCAAUUAUGGGGAAAUAGUAUGUUUCAAAGAGUUGACUUGGGUCAGGCAGGCUCUUCUAAGAGUUAUUCAGACAUGGAAACAGAUUG